UUUAAGAACAAAAUAGGAUGCAUAAAAGACUCACAUGUGCCCCAGAAACAGUCGCACACAUAAGUAGACAAAUCUCAAAUGUACCAUUGCAGUGUUUAUUACAUAGCGAAACAUAAUAAUUCACAUAGUCUUAUACAAAAAUGAUAGCAAUAAGAAAACAACGCUCUCGACGGAAGCUCCACACAGGGACACUGUUGACUGGUUGACUCCAAACCUAGUACUCAUAACGGUAAUCCUCAUUCCAGUCAUCUUCAUUGUCAUAUCCUGAGGUGUUGGGAAAUUACAAGAGUGAGCACAUAUCGUACUCAACAAGUAUAACUAGGGGUUCAUGAGGCUCAAAAAGCUGACACUGGUUUGACUGCAUUUAGCUUUUAUACGUAGAUAUCAUGUUUAUAUUUAGAUAACAAAUAUCAAGGUAGAAUAAUUAAAUCCCAUAACCACAUGAUCAAUGUAUACAAGAAUUAAGAAUAACACAUAUAAACAACAUAAUAAACCAUCAUUUAUUAUCAUUAUUCACGUUCUUCAGUGUCCGUCUAUUCCGUCAGUUUUCCGGGCCGCCCGUAUCCGUGGGCACGGCUAGUAUACCAGAUUUAACACUCUGCAGAGGUUGUACAUCUUUACCCAUAAGUCGUGAUUUACCCUUUCGCCCGAGGUGAUCAGCCUCUUAACCCACUACCAAGGAAGGUCGGCAGGGUUCACUAUGAAGUCUUUCAAAGGUUCGUCUAACAUGUUAGGGCCGCAAGGUUUCCUUUGCGCGCAGAUAUAGAUACCCCCCUUCCGAAUGGCACAAUGACGCGCAGCCUAUACACAUAGGGACAGGGGCUCGCACUAUACCCAAAACGGUUCAGCCCCUCCGCCCUUUCGGGUAACCUCUAACAAGCUAGAAAAGCUUACUCAUACUUGACUAAAGCCAGAGCCAUAUAGCCCUCAUGGUUGUACGAGUUGUCCCAGCUUUUGCCAAGGGAUAAGUCCUUAUGGAGGGUCAAGAUCAAUCCAGCAAAAGCCAGAGUUCUUUCCACCCUUUAUAUUCAAGUUGCUAGAAAGCUUAUUUUAUUGUUUAUUGUAUAUUCAAAUAUUCAUGUUACAAGAUCAUGGAUUAAUAAUCAAGCACUAGCAAGAACUACCAAAUGCAUAUCCCAAAAUAGGUAACAAGGAAUCCAGGAUAACAAUCAUCUAUGAUUUUGCUAAGGUCAUCAAGGUGAAAGCAUGCAUAUGAUAUAUAUUGUAUUAAUUGUGUAUAGGUAACAAGGAUAGUCCCAAGUUAUACUUGCCUUAAACACUUGCUCAAUUCUCACAUCAUCAGCUUCAUCACCUUCUGAUCUUCAGCGCUCACAAGCGGUUCUCGUCU
rnacentral:lncRNA from 1 species